rnacentral:lncRNA from 1 species
GUGUGAAUUGCUGUCACGAACAUUGCGUCGGUUGGAUCGAGUCUUACCAUAGGCGAGGUAUUGCUAAAGUGUGGUUCUGCUGGGUCGAGGCCUUAAAUACAACGCGACAACGAAGAUGGUAUCGCGUAAAAGUGUUACAAGAUAUUUGGCUAUAUGUAUGUAUGUGCGUAUGUGGGUGUGUGUGUUUGUGUACGUUUUUUGUCGCAACCUCGUCGUAUCCGGACUACAAAAUGCUUUAUUACACCUGACAUUACGCAAAUAAGGAAAUGUGAUUUUUUUCGUUGAACGUGUAAAAUAAAUUUCGAAUUUGUUUUGUAA